rnacentral:rRNA from 1 species
AAUGAACGUUGGCGGCAUGGAUUAGGCAUGCAAGUCGAGCGAGAAGUGUAGCAAUACACGGAAAGCGGCGGAAGGGAGAGUAAUACGUGGGAAUCUGCCCUUAGACCUGGGAUAGCAGCGGGAAACUGCUGGUAAUACCAGAUAAUGUCUAUGGACCAAAGGUGUGAUUCCGUCUAGGGAUGAGCCCACGUCCUAUUAGCUAGUUGGUAGGGUAAUGGCCUACCAAGGCGAUGAUGGGUAGCGGGUGUGAGAGCAUGCCCCGCCUCACUGGGACUGAGACACUGUCCAGACACCUACGGGUGGCUGCAGUCGAGAAUCUUCGGCAAUGGGCGCAAGCCUGACCGAGCGAUGCCGCGUGCGGGAUGAAGGCCUUCGGGUUGUAAACCGCUGUCGAGGGGGAGCAACUUCCAUAGAGUUAUCUUUAUGGAUUGAGUGAUCCCUGGAGGAAGGACGGGCUAAGUUCGUGCCAGCCGCCGCUGUAAUAC